AAAAAUAAAUACAUUAAAAAUAUGAAAUAAGUUUAAAUCUAAAAAACUUUUAAAAAUAUGAUUUCAUAGACAAAAUAGUUAUAAAUUAAAGACAUAUUAAUAUGAAUUUUAAUAUGUAACUUUAUUUGAGUAUAAAUACUAGAACACAUAUUUUAAAUCUAUAGAUGUAAACCUUACAUUUCUAGGAGGAAAAGAGAACAACUAUGGAAGAAAAU
rnacentral:lncRNA from 1 species